CCCAGUAACUGGAGGAUGCUUGAUGG
rnacentral:piRNA from 1 species